GAGAAUGAAUGGAAACCAGCUGAUAUAUUCAGUACUCUGGGGGAAAGGGAAUGUGAUAGAAGUUCGUUGGAAGCAAAAAAAGCCCAGUGGAGGAAAGAGCUAGAUGAACAGGUUGCUUUAAAGAAGAAAGAAAAAGAAGUUUCUGAAAAAUGGAAUGAUCCUUGGAAAAAAUCUGAAAGUGAUAAAAUAAUAUGGGAAAAACAUCAAAUUCUUGACCAAUCUAGGGCUGGAAUGCAGUGGCACAGUCUCAGCUCACUGCAACCUACCCCUCCCAGGCUCAAGCGAUUCUCCUGCCUCAGCCUCCCGAGUAGCUAGGACUACAGGUACUCACCACCAUGGCCAGCUAAUUUUUUGUAUUCUUAAUAGAGAUGGUAUUUCACCACUCAGGAUGGUCUCGAACUCCUGG
rnacentral:lncRNA from 10 species